GCCUCUCUCUCACUGUAAUGACCUUUCUUGACUAUCCUAUCAAAGAGCUCACCUCCCUCGCAUAGCUCCAUGACCAAGUGGACACAAUAGGCAUCCUCAUAGGCUCCUCUGAUCCUCACCACAUUAGGGUGCUCAGAUAGGUGGUGCAUUAUCUGAAUUUCUCUCCAAACAUCUUCAAAGUCUUCUUUGCAAAGAAGCUUUCUUUUGGGGAUAGAUUUGCAGGCAUAGUUAAGACAGGAGGGCUUAUGGGUGCAAAGAUAAGUGGUACCGAACUGGCCUUGACCGAGCUUCUUUCCUAUGGUAUAGUGGUCCCUGAGGUUCUGAGUCCGGUAGGGAAGAACCCAUUUGGGCUUUGAUAAAGUUGUGUGAGUGGAAGAAGUUGUUGAAGUCGAAUUGUCCAUUGGCAGAGGGGAAGAGAGGAAAAGAGGUUUGAGUAUUGGCUCUUGGGUCUUGAUGUGCUUGUCU
rnacentral:misc_RNA from 1 species